UGCGGGAUCGUCUAAUGGUAGGACAGCGGAUUCUGGAUCCGCCGAUCUAGGUUCAAAUCCUAGUCCCGCAGCAA
rnacentral:tRNA from 1 species